CGAAGACUAACCAUGAUGUUCCCUUCAAAUUUUCGAAUGGUUGCCGUAAUCACUAAAAAAUAAAGAUCGGCAGAAAAAUCUAAAGAUCGCGCCGUGACGUUUUUUGAGUGAACAGCGCAACAAAAAAAAAAACAUGAAUCGUUGGCGAUGUGAAAGCAAAACCGCCGCGGCGGUGCACACCUCUAACUAAUGAGCAGCUCUCAAAGAGGGGAAUCCCAGAAAAUGGCAUCUUUAUCACAUUAAAAGGCACAAGAAACGCGAGCGCAAUCAUUGAGCUACGUAUCACUGUAGUGUAUAAAUUCGUAUCAGUCAAUUAGAAUGAAAAUAAUAAUUUUACUACUAUUUGUUAUCUGUUGCAUGCUUGCUACACAUUUUUGCUCCCCAAUUAUUGAAGAAGAUGAUUUUUCCUCGUUUGCAUCACCAUGCUUACAGCCGCCAACAAAUUUCAAGAAACGAUAUUUUGUACAUAACAACAUACACGUUACGUUCUUGGAAGCAUGGAGACAGUGUCAAGCCAUUGGUCUUCGCUUAGCUACCAUUACAUCUGAGGAGGAUAGUAAACUCAUGCAGGAAACCAUUGCAAAUUCAACUAACACGAAAGGUCCUUGGUAUAUCGGUGGCACCGACUUAGGGAAUGAAGGACACUUUGUUUGGAUAUCUACCAAUAAGCCUGUCGGACACAUGACAGGAUACUUCAACUAUUCACCCGGACAACCAGACAAUGCUGGAGGAAGCGAAAACUGUCUCGAGAUCGGUCGGUGGGGUGGUGUAGUCUGGAAUGAUGAGCCAUGCGAUGCAAAGCUACGCUACAUUUGUGAAUCUGUCACUCCAAACUGGUCGUAAAAAACAAUGAACAUAAUAAAUCAUUUGUUUGUUUAUUAGUUGAACCUUU